AAGAAGUGGUGUAGCUAUUCUUGAGACCUAAGUUUUAUUCCCCUCUUUUGCAUAAUUUUUGUUUACUGUAUUUUUGCUCAAAACCCUAGUGUGUCACCCUUUUGCAUAGAAACCCUAGUAUAUAACAUAUUUUUUUGUUAUUUUUAGCCUUUUUUGAUCAUUUUUGCUCCCCUAUUGCCGCCGCUCUCAUUUUUCCUCUUUUCUUCUCCGUUUUCUCUCCUUUCUUCUUAUUUGUGUUAUCCAAUUGUUCAUAUUCUCCUCUUGUUUUUCUAUUUUUUGUUCAUUUCUUCUCCUAUCACUUUGGUCGAAUUUUUGCUGCUGAUUUUUCUUCUAUUGUCACACCCUUUUUGCCCACUUUUCUUUCAUUUUUGUUGUUGAAAUCAGCCUCCUAUCUUGGCCGACUGAAGUGUUUAUCCAUUUUCUAUUGAUUCGUUAUUCCAAGUCUAGAAACUUGGAAGUGUCUAGAUCUAAAUCUCUCAGAUCUCCAGUGAAGUUUGAGCCUAUUCAUAUUUUCGUCGGAUCAGUAGAAGUGUAAAUGAUCUCAGAUAUGAAGUUUGGGUUGUUUCUUCGAUUUAGUAGAACCCUAUAAGAUGGUUAAAGGCUAAAUUUUAAUGUUCGUUCUCUAUGCUAGGUACAUAUCUGGUAGGUGCCAAUUCAAAUCUGAAUCAUAGAAGUGUUCCAAACAAUUGUUAAUGCUUUUCAGACGUGCAUUGAGGCGUGUGUCCUAUUCAUAAGUGAAUCGUGUGAUUUGGUGAUAAUCGAAUGCAUGUGUAUAUAAAUCAUAUUGAACCGAAUUUUUGUGUGUGUACCCUUAAGCUUUGUCAAAUGUAUAGUGUCCUAUGAACUGGCCAAAUAUGAUGUGUGUUAAUUUGGUGUGCUUGUCGAAUGUGUUUAGGUUUAUUUUGUAGUUGGUUGAAUGUGCCUAAUGGUUUGUCUGCUAUAACUGAGUAUGUAUAGACUACUAAUGUAUGAUAUGGAAUUGUUAUCACAUGUUUACUGAAUUCAUGAAGACAUAUUGUUGCUUCGAUGUCUAUUGAUUGCAUGACUGAAAGCAUGCCAUUGUUUUUAUAUUUAUCGAAUGCAUGAAAGGAAUGCCACUGCUAAUGAUUUAUUGAUCGCAUGUUAAAACAUGCCAAGGUUCUACAUUGUAUCUGAUUCUGUCAUGCAUGUUAUGACAUUCUAUUGCAUAAGGUUGGGAAGAUUGGUAACAGAGGACUUCUAUGGAGUUCUAGCGGUUUAUCCGUAAUAUGGGAGUUCUGGCGGUUCGUCCACAAACUUUUUACUAGCAAUUUAACUACAAAUUACUGGCAGUUUAUCUGCAAAUAUUUAAUGUUACUGGUGGUUUGUCCACAAUGAGCUACGACUAUUACUAUUAUGGUGUGUACAGAUGGAUGAGUUCUAGGUAACUCAUGGUGUAUAGAGGAUGGAUAGGUAGGAAAUUACACUGACAUUCAUGGACAUGUACAUACAUUUUGAAAACUCUAUGAUUCUGUAUAUUCUGAAACACUGUGAUCUGUGACACUGUUAUUACUGUUAUAUUUGUUUACUUUCAUGCUUUUAA